CCACGUGUGUGUGUGUGUGUGUGUGAGACAUAGACUGUGCGUGUGUGCGCAUGUGAGAGUUUGUGUGAGAGAGCGCGCCACAGCCAAGUCUGGGAAACAGCCCUCCUCUGUUGAUGUGCCGCAACUUCCAAUUAGUGAUGUUCUCAUCGAAGUGCAAACAAGACUCCAUACUUCAAGACUUCAAAUGUGGAGAGAGAGAGAGAGGGAAACAAUUGUGCCUCCUCAAAGUGUACAGGAAGGGAAGCGGAGAUCUUUAUCCACCGGUUGUUGAGUCUUCAACGGUUGGUUUAGUAAUGUUGCAUUAUUAAAACCCCUGGCUGUGGCUGAAAACGAGCUUCGGUGCGGCUUGCGGUGUGCGGCUGACGACAAGGUUUGGGGAUUGAAAUGCUAUCCACCAAUGUCUCCACAUGAAUAAGUUAUUCCCCUUGUACUGUUGUGUCCCUGGUCCGCUGCUGCAGGCCUUCUAAUUGCCUCCCACAUGGUCGGGAAAGAAAUACACACAUACAGACACUCAUAGGGUAUUGACAACAGAGAGGCACAUAUACACACAUUUUUUUCUGCACACCAUAGUGGACAUUACAGUGAAAAACCCACGACCUGGACAUAUAUAGUCGAUAACUAGCAUGAUUAUUUAAUUGAGUGGUGCUUUGAGAAACUCCCUUGUUUGUGGGUAACAUUUAAAUACGCAAAUAGUGAAAAGACACAGUGAUCUGAGGUUACAAACCCAAUGUGAACAGUUACUCUUAUAUGAUAUCUACUAAACAAGACCAGUAAACAUUGAAACAUGCUUGAGUCAUUGCUUGCUCUUGUCAUCCUAACUAACCCACAGCUUCCAUUAACCAAUCUGUUUGCACCACACAGUGUUGCACAGUGCUCAUUUGGGUUGGGACACAGUAUUCCCAGGUCAGCCUAUUCCAAUGUGAACGCAUUGUGCCUUUGAGUGUAACGAAGGGGGUUGAUCAUGCUGUAAUUAGUAAACAUCUGCUGUGACUCAGGCCCAUUGUGUGUCUGUCGACCUAAGAUUAAUCCACAUGCUUUCCUCUGUCAUUAGCUAGACCAAGCUGUGACCACAGGACAAAUACA
ensembl:lncRNA